GAGAAGGACUGCAACUUUGGAAGUGUUGGUGCCCCUGUCCCUGGAGGUAUUUAAGGGACAUGUGGACAUGGCACAAAGGAAUAUGGUUUAGUGAUGGGACUCAGUGGGUCAGGUUGAUGGUUGGACUUGGUGAUCUUGAAGGUCUUCCAACCUCAAGGAUUCUAGGAUUCUGUUCUAUGAUUUACUGACAUAAAAGCACAUAUUCACCUUUAUGCCAUCAUACUUGCUGCAAGGAAUAAAAAGACUUUUUUUUUUUUUUUUUUCUUACAGAGAAAAAGUCUUUACUUUUGUAAUUGAAGUAACAAAAUUGUUUCCAAUAAAAAUGCUGAAUUACAUUGCUAUCUUUUGAGAAGCAAAAACCAUCACAGAUUGUGAGAACUGAAAGAAAAUGUUUCUCUGUCACCUUUCGGGUGAGAUGCUUGACAAUUAUCUAGCCAAAGAGAUAAAACCUUGAAAUUUUUUCUACUGGUGAAAGGCCUUUAACAUUUUAAAACUGUUAUAAAUUCUUCCUGUGUGGUGGCAAAUUCCUAGCAUUACAAGCAUAAACUAUAUGAACAAAGGCAAGGAGACUUGUACAGAGAUGUCUUAGAAUGGUCUCUCUCUGUCCCCUAACACAUGUAUGUAGGUUUACAUAAUGAACUACAAAUGUUGUUGAUCAAACUUGCAUCAUGGAUAAGAUUAACCAGGAUUUUUAAUAUGGUCCUCCGAGAUCUGGUAUAUCAAUAAAUCCUAUAAUUAAUUCUUGUAUAUAUGUGACUCUUGUUAGAAUUCACAACAUACUUCAGCCAAAGUUUUCUGUUGUAAACUCUCCACAUAGAUUGAAAAAAUGUUAGUUCAAUUUAACAUAGGUACUUCACAUUUCUAUUUUCAUCUUCGGUAUUUAAGUGUGAUUAUACAUUUUCAACGAUUAUUGUAUUUCCUAUUUUUAUUUUUACAGUUCUUUGAUUAUGGAUUGACUUACAUUGCCUCAAAACUUACAAUGUCUAUUCUGUAUAAGUCUCAAGUUAGGAAGAAGUCUUCCCCUGCUUUUCCUAAACACAAAUUUGAUUUAAUUUAUGCAUAAUUACCUGUUACAUAUGUACUUAUAUAUAUAACGUAAUAAGUUAUGUUGCAAAAUAUAUCUUUAAAAUUAUUAAAAUUGAAACAUAAAAUAUGUAGAAUGUGUUAAAGCUGCACAUCUGACCAAAAUUCAUGGUUGGUUCUAUGCUGUGGAUAUACUGAGAGCACCUAUGUCUUUAUUAAAUAAAAUAUAGCUGGAUUUUUUGGGGAAAAAAAAAAAAAAAAAAAAAAAGUUAAUUGAUUUGAUUUGGAAUAUAGAACUUCAAGAUAAAAUUAGUUCAAAUAGCAAUAAGGCUUUAGUCAAAAGCACUGGCAAGCCCUAACAUUGUAGUUGGUUAAUGUCUUUAUACAGUUUUGUUCUGAGUAAAUAAACGGGAUGAGAUCCAGGCUGCCCUGAAAUCAAUGUUAGUUCCAUUCAUUUCAUUAGUGCUUAUUGACUUAAGUAGAUUUAUUCAUCUGUUCAAGGUAGACAUACAUUUAUCUUCUUUGCUGAAUAAACACUAAUUCUGAACGUUUUUAUUUUCUGAACCUUAGUUCAUAGAGAGCCUCUUCAUUUAUCUGCAUGAAAAAGUUCAAAUAUGAGGAUCUUAAUCUGUGAAUGUUAGGUUAUAAAGAUUAUUUUAGUCUUUCCACAUUUCAGGCAUCAUUGAAGUCUACAGGAGCUGGAGGUGUUUAGUGCUUUUCAGAAGUUUUCAAUAUGAAAACUAAUUCUAAAAGGGCUGAAUAAAUUAGCUAUUUUUCUUCCUUACAAUAUGGCUUUUGGGCACUGAAUUAGCUAAGUGAUGUGCGCGUGUGCACUGAACAUGGUUUAGUCCUAAAAUAGAAACUGUGCUAACCCACUAUCAUAUUCUAAAUCGAGAACAUAAUUUGUGAAUUACUGAAGAAGUCUCGAGCAUGGCUUGAGAGAGUUCACCACAGAUGCUACAAAGCAAUUAUACUUUCAAAGAGUUAAAUAUAUGGUACCAUAAAAUGAGAAAUUAAUUCUUUCUUGUGCUUCACCCCAUCUUUAACAUUAAAAGCUUACCAUUGCAUUUGUGCUUUCACUGUGUAUGUCUGGUGGUUGUCCCAGUCACCUUCAUUGGCACCGGCACAGUGUAGCUGUACGUCCACAGCACAAUCUUAAACAAAAAUAUGGUACAAUUCAAUCCAGACCUGCCCCCAACUUUUUUUUUUUUUUUUUUUUUUUUUACUCAUUUAUGGAUGAUUCUUUCAAGCUGUCACUAAAUUUAUUUGGAGUAAUAAGGAACAUUUCUCUUGCAUAUGGUCUAAGGGCAAAAUGAUAUUUUUAGAUCUGUGUCAAUUCCUUUAUUUGCAACCAGUCUGCGCUUCCCUCCAGCCAGCAGCUAAGGAGCUGUUAUUUGAUAAUCAGCAUUAACUCUGUCAAAUAGCAUGCAGAAGUUAGAUCUACAUCUUGGCUUGAACUAUGUAAGCAGGCAUAAAACUUCUUCUCCCUCGCACCGCAGCUGGGUUAUCGCUAUGCAGCUUGCCCUGAGCUGUUGGGAAAUACAGCUACAGGGCUUCUGACGUCAGGCUGCAGUUCCACGCAUCUGUUUGGUCUGAGAGGAUGCUUAGAGUAUCCCAUAUGCUAGCCAAAAUGUUUCAGUAGAGGUCACUGGAACAGGCUCCCCACACUGGAAC